rnacentral:rRNA from 1 species
UACAGAGGUCUCAACCGUUGUUCGGAUUCAUUGGGCGUAAAGGGUGCGUAGGCGGCGGGGUAAGUCAGGUGUGAAAUCUCGGAGCUUAACUCCGAAACUGCAUUCGAUACUGCCGUGCUUGAGGACUGGAAAGGAGACUGGAAUUUACGGUGUAGCGGUGAAAUGCGUAGAUAUCGUAAGGAAGACCAGUGGCGAAGGCGGGUCUCUGGACAGUUCCUGACGCUGAGGCACGAAGGCCAGGGGAGCAAACGGG